rnacentral:rRNA from 1 species
UACGUAGGGCGCAAGCGUUAUCCGGAAUUAUUGGGCGUAAAGAGCUCGUAGGCGGUUUGUCGCGUCUGCUGUGAAAACGCGAGGCUCAACCUCGCGCCUGCAGUGGGUACGGGCAGACUAGAGUGUGGUAGGGGAGAUUGGAAUUCCUGGUGUAGCGGUGGAAUGCGCAGAUAUCAGGAGGAACACCGAUGGCGAAGGCAGAUCUCUGGGCCAUUACUGACGCUGAGGAGCGAAAGCGUGGGGAGCGAACAGG